AGAGUUUGAUCAUGGCUCAGAUUGAACGCUGGCGGCAGGCCUAACACAUGCAAGUCGAACGGUAACAGGAAGCAGCUUGCUGCUUUGCUGACGAGUGGCGGACGGGUGAGUAAUGUCUGGGAAACUGCCUGAUGGAGGGGGAUAACUACUGGAAACGGUGGCUAAUACCGCAUAACGUCGCAAGACCAAAGAGGGGGACCUUCGGGCCUCUUGCCAUCAGAUGUGCCCAGAUGGGAUUAGCUAGUUGGUGAGGUAACGGCUCACCAAGGCGACGAUCCCUAGCUGGUCUGAGAGGAUGACCAGCCACACUGGAACUGAGACACGGUCCAGACUCCUACGGGAGGCAGCAGUGGGGAAUAUUGCACAAUGGGCGCAAGCCUGAUGCAGCCAUGCCGCGUGUAUGAAGAAGGCCUUCGGGUUGUAAAGUACUUUCAGCGGGGAGGAAGGUGUUGUGGUUAAUAACCACAGCAAUUGACGUUACCCGCAGAAGAAGCACCGGCUAACUCCGUGCCAGCAGCCGCGGUAAUACGGAGGGUGCAAGCGUUAAUCGGAAUUACUGGGCGUAAAGCGCACGCAGGCGGUCUGUCAAGUCGGAUGUGAAAUCCCCGGGCUCAACCUGGGAACUGCAUUCGAAACUGGCAGGCUUGAGUCUUGUAGAGGGGGGUAGAAUUCCAGGUGUAGCGGUGAAAUGCGUAGAGAUCUGGAGGAAUACCGGUGGCGAAGGCGGCCCCCUGGACAAAGACUGACGCUCAGGUGCGAAAGCGUGGGGAGCAAACAGGAUUAGAUACCCUGGUAGUCCACGCCGUAAACGAUGUCUACUUGGAGGUUGUGCCCUUGAGGCGUGGCUUCCGGAGCUAACGCGUUAAGUAGACCGCCUGGGGAGUACGGCCGCAAGGUUAAAACUCAAAUGAAUUGACGGGGGCCCGCACAAGCGGUGGAGCAUGUGGUUUAAUUCGAUGCAACGCGAAGAACCUUACCUGGUCUUGACAUCCACAGAAGAAUCCAGAGAUGGAUUUGUGCCUUCGGGAACUGUGAGACAGGUGCUGCAUGGCUGUCGUCAGCUCGUGUUGUGAAAUGUUGGGUUAAGUCCCGCAACGAGCGCAACCCUUAUCCUUUGUUGCCAGCGAUUAGGUCGGGAACUCAAAGGAGACUGCCAGUGAUAAACUGGAGGAAGGUGGGGAUGACGUCAAGUCAUCAUGGCCCUUACGACCAGGGCUACACACGUGCUACAAUGGCGCAUACAAAGAGAAGCGACCUCGCGAGAGCAAGCGGACCUCAUAAAGUGCGUCGUAGUCCGGAUUGGAGUCUGCAACUCGACUCCAUGAAGUCGGAAUCGCUAGUAAUCGUGGAUCAGAAUGCCACGGUGAAUACGUUCCCGGGCCUUGUACACACCGCCCGUCACACCAUGGGAGUGGGUUGCAAAAGAAGUAGGUAGCUUAACCUUCGGGAGGGCGCUUACCACUUUGUGAUUCAUGACUGGGGUGAAGUCGUAACAAGGUAACCGUAGGGGAACCUGCGGUUG
rnacentral:rRNA from 1 species